rnacentral:rRNA from 1 species
UACGAAGGGGGCUAGCGUUGCUCGGAUUGACUGGGCGUAAAGGGCGCGUAGGCGGUUUGGACAGUCAGGCGUGAAAUUCCUGGGCUUAACCUGGGGGCUGCGCUUGAUACAUCCAGACUUGAGUGGGGAAGAGGGUCGUGGAAUUCCCAGUGUAGAGGUGAAAUUCGUAGAUAUUGGGAAGAACACCGGUGGCGAAGGCGGCGACCUGGUCCUUUACUGACGCUGAGGCGCGAAAGCGUGGGGAGCAAACAGG